rnacentral:rRNA from 1 species
ACGGUGAUGCAGAGCUUGCUCUGCGGAUCAGUGGCGAACGGGUGAGCUAUUACGUGAGUAACCUGCCCUUGACUCUGGGAUAAGCGUUGGAAACUACGUCUAAUACCGGAUACGACCCGUGGAGGCAUCUCCUACGGGUGGAAAGAACUUCGGUUGAGGAUGGACUCGCGGCCUAUCAGCUUGUUGGUGAGGUAAUGGCUCACCAAGGCGACGACGGGUAGCCGGCCUGAGAGGGUGACCGGCCACACUGGGACUGAGACACGGCCCAGACUCCUACGGGAGGCAGCAGUGGGGAAUAUUGCACAAUGGGCGCAAGCCUGAUGCAGCAACGCCGCGUGAGGGAUGACGGCCUUCGGGUUGUAAACCUCUUUUGGCAGGGAAGAAGCGAAAGUGACGGUACCUGCAGAAAAAGCACCGGCUAACUACGUGCCAGCAGCCGCGGUAAUACGUAGGGUGCAAGCGUUGUCCGGAAUUAUUGGGCGUAAAGAGCUCGUAGGCGGUUUGUCGCGUCUGCUGUGAAAACGCAAGGCUCAACCUUGCGCCUGCAGUGGGUACGGGCAGACUAGAGUGUGGUAGGGGAGAUUGGAAUUCCUGGUGUAGCGGUGGAAUGCGCAGAUAUCAGGAGGAACACCGAUGGCGAAGGCAGAUCUCUGGGCCAUUACUGACGCUGAGGAGCGAAAGCGUGGGGAGCGAACAGGAUUAGAUACCCUGGUAGUCCACGCCGUAAACGUUGGGAACUAGAUGUGGGGUCCAUUCCACGGAUUCCGUGUCGCAGCUAACGCAUUAAGUUCCCCGCCUGGGGAGUACGGCCGCAGGGCUAAAACUCAGAGGAAUUGACGGGGGCCCGCAAAAGCGGCGGAGCAUGCGGAUAAUUCGAUGCACGCGAAGACCUUA